rnacentral:rRNA from 1 species
UACGUAGGGUGCAAGCGUUGUCCGGAAUUCUUGGGCGUAAAGAGCUCGUAGGCGGUUUGUCGCGUCUGCUGUGAAAACUCGGGGCUUAACUCCGGGCCUGCAGUGGGUACGGGCAGACUAGAGUGCGGUAGGGGAGACUGGAAUUCCUGGUGUAGCGGUGAAAUGCGCAGAUAUCAGGAGGAACACCGGUGGCGAAGGCGGGUCUCUGGGCCGAUACUGACGCUGAGGAGCGAAAGCGUGGGGAGCGAACAGG